AGAAAAAGCCAAACCCGCUGCGAAGCGGGGACGGAAAACCACGGGUCUCUCAGGGGCGGUAGCCACAGAUCCACGGGAGAAAGCCGGGUUGCC
rnacentral:ncRNA from 1 species